rnacentral:rRNA from 1 species
UACAGAGGGUGCUAGCGUUAAUCGGAUUUACUGGGCGUAAAGCGUGUGUAGGCGGUUCGUUAAGUCGGAUGUGAAAGCCCUGGGCUCAACCUGGGAAUUGCACUCGAUACUGGCGAGCUAGAGUACGGUAGAGGGCGGCGGAAUUCCGGGUGUAGCGGUGAAAUGCGUAGAUAUCAGGAGGAACACCAGUGGCGAAGGCGCCACUCUGGGCCGUAACUGACGCUGAGGAGCGAAAGCGUGGGUAGCAAACAGG